rnacentral:tRNA from 1 species
GCCCAGCUGCGCCAGGAAAAAGAAUAGAAGAAGCA